rnacentral:lncRNA from 1 species
AUAAUGCAGAUGAUUUUGUUAAUUUAUGUGAUCUUCUACAACCUUUCCUUCCGCAACCUCAGUAUUGGCGCCCGCCUCUUCCUCGGUUUAGGUGAAUCCUUGGUCUCCUCUCUCUUUCUCUCCCUGAUGGUUCAGCCAUCAAGUCGUGGGUAACUAGAUAAAUCAUGUGUUAUUGGUGCUAUUAGAUAUAACAGCCGAAUAUGUGAAAAUAAGAUAAAUGCGCACAGGCCCAUCUAGGUGCCCCCCAGCCUCUAGUACAUGCAAACAUACGCGUAGUCAGAGCUCAAUAAACUACCACUCCUGGAGGAUGAAAUAGUUUUAAUUUAUUUAUUACUUGUACAUUGUGAUAUUUGAUUAUUUUGUAUGCUUUCUUAUGUUUGAUUAUUUCAAUUACCAGGAUGAUCUGAAGCACCUAGAAGAAGUAGAGGACAAGUUGGGAAGAGGGUACAAGAAGCUACGUUUAAGAUUGAUGUUAUGUGUGAUCAAUAAAAACUUGUGUUUCUCAUCCAAUCUUUGUCGAACUAUGUUGAUGUGUGAUUAUGCACUUGUUGGGCCCUUUUACUAUAGACCUGCACUUGUAGAACUAUUUUGUUGUGCACUUGUUGGUCCUUAAAUCUUUAGGUGUAGAGGAGUCAAUAGAUGAUGUAUUGUAAUUCAUGUGAUGUGCUAUUGAAAUGAAAUAUAUAGAACUAAUUUGCAAUCUUUUAUUCUUUUGUACUUGUU